rnacentral:rRNA from 1 species
UACGGAGGGGGCAAGCGUUGUUCGGAAUUACUGGGCGUAAAGCGCGCGUAGGCGGGCGGUUAAGUGAGAAGUGAAAGGCUGGGGCUUAACCCCAUGCAGUGCUUCUCAUACUGAUCGUCUUGAGGGCGGUAGAGAGAAGUGGAAUGGCUGGUGUAGCGGUGAAAUGCGUAGAUAUCAGUCGGAACACCGGUGGCGAAGGCGGUCUGCUGGGGUAAUGCUGACACUGAUGCGCGACAGCGUGGGGAGCAAACAGG